ACAGCAGUAGCCACGGUAAGACGAACCGUGCAAACGUUACUCGGAAUCACUGGGCUUAAAGCGCACGUAGGCGGCGACAUAAGUUAGAGGUGAAAUCCCAUCGGCUCAACCGUGGAACUGCCUCUAAUACUGUGUUGCUUGAGGGAGAACGGGGCAUUCGGAACUUCCGGUGGAGCGGUGAGAUGUGUUGAUAUCGGAAGGAACGCCGGUGGCGAAAGCGGAAUGCUGGGUCUCUUCUGACGCUGAGGUGCGAAAGCUAGGGUAGCGAACGGGAUUAGAUACCCCGGUAGUCCCUGUCUCUUAUA
rnacentral:rRNA from 1 species